GCUACCACUUACAGAUGGACCCGCGGCGCAUUAGCUAGUUGGUGAGGUAACGGCUCMCCAAGGCRACGAUGCGUAGCCGACCUGAGAGGGUGAUCGGCCACACUGGGACUKAGACMCGGCCCAGACUCCUACGGGAGGCAGCAGUAGGGAAUCUUCCGCAAUGGACGAAAGUCUGACGGAGCAACSCCGCGUGAGUGAUGAAGGUUUUCGGAUCGUAAAACUCUGUUGUUAGGGAAGAACAAGUACCGUUCRAA
rnacentral:rRNA from 1 species